rnacentral:SRP_RNA from 1 species
CGGCUGCCUGUGACCAUGUGGCACUAAGGAAGAUGGAGGGGUUCUGGGCCCGUCAUCCCCCGGGAGGGCGUGUCGAAACCGAGUCUGUUCGAAGGUGGGGGUCAACAUCGCAUUUCCCGCGGAGGCGGGGGGUGCAAGGUUGUCUAAGUAGGGGGGCAACGCGUUAGGCCGUAACCGGAGCAGCGAAAACUCCCAGCCCUCACCAGUCGACAGAUAGCUCAGUUGAAUGCCAC